rnacentral:tRNA from 1 species
GUAACAUAACACGUGAUUUUGAAAAUCAUAUAUAGACGAUUAUUCUCGUCAUGUUACU